ACACACAUCAGUUUAUUUCCUGUUUUCGCCUUAAACCAGCCUUUCUCAAACUGUGGGAACCCUGCCCCCCCUAGUGGUCCGGAGGGUACUGCAUGUAAACGACCGUUUAUUUGCCGAGACGUGAGGUCAAAGUGCGACGCUACAGUUAGCUUAGCUAAAAAGAAUAAUGGAUACGUGGCUUAAAACCGGGUGACUCUAAAGAAAAACUGAACAUACCAGAGGAAAGAAAACAACGUCCGGACUAUUUAUAUCAGAGGAAGCCGAGUCAGACCUACUGAGAGGAUUGAGUCGUUCGCAAGCGACUCGAUUCUUUUCAACGGCUCUAUGUCGUGAACGGUUCCAGUCUCAGCUGCUGCUGUCACCUCGGAGCAAGUGGAAGUGGUCUGGGUAGAGCAGCUUGAAGCCAAACAGGGUGAGAAUGACCUCAACAGAGAAGGAGCCUCGGUCCACAAAGUCGCCAUUGAAGAGCUGGAAGCUGUGGUUAAGGUAACUGCACAUCUAGGCUGAAUAUAAUUAUCUGCAGAGUUCCCCAAUGUUCCAUCCUAAGUCCUCUCCUUUUCAUCAUCUACAUGCUUGUUGGUGUUAUUGUUUAUUUAUUUCAAAAUGUACAAUACAUAGUACAAAAUAUUCCAAAGUUAGCCAAAAAGGCAUCUGUAUUCUCUACUUGUGUUGUUCCAUCACAUAAAAUCCCAAUAAAAUGCAUUAAA